GAUACGUUCCGCGAUUUGUGAAUUUUUCAGCGGAUUGGCCGGUCGAUCUAACCUCAAUUGUUGAACUAACGAAAUUUGAAAUUAGCGAAAAGAUGAAAGAGUCGCAAAAGUUCGCGCGUCUUCGACGUCGCCUUGGAAUGUUGGGUUUCGAGGUUGAAAUCGAGUUUGAAGGUUUAAUGGGUCACGGUGGGAAAGAGAACGCGGAACUCGCGCGAGACGUCCGAUCGACGAAAGCGAGAUCGACGGAGCGUUGGACCUCGAACGAAAACGAUAGUGAAUCGGUGUCGUUGAACCUCCUUUGCCGAGGAUCUUUCUUCUCGGAACGAGACGGUUAUACCGCUGUAUCCCGAGGUCCGUUACUCGACUGCAUUCCUCUCCUUUGAAUUCAAAGUCGAACGAAAUCGAAAGCGGAUCGUCGACGUCGAUGGUCGUGAACGUCUGUUUUCACGUGACAAGUCCGUGGCGUAAGUUCAGGGCCGUCUCUAGUGCGUUACAUUAACCCUUUCCGCUCGGCUGGCGCCUCUAGGGCGACAUAAUGUAAUUUAAUAGUGAUUUUGUGAACGUAGAAUUUCAAAUUCACUUACAUCGUGAUGCAACUAAUUGUUAAUCGAAAUAAUAAUAUUAUACAUUGAGUCAUGAACAAAAAUGCCUCGAACGCAAAGGGUUAGUUACUCGACAUACAGUCGGUAUAAUAAGUAUUCGUACAGGAACCAUUUAUUUUAAAUUGGUUGCUGCACAAAUAUUUAUUAUACACGAAUCAUUCCCUCGGGAUGAGUUUCAGUAAUUAACCGAGUAAUCAAAGGUCAACUGUCGAUGUCCCAAACGAACAUUUAACUUUCAAUAAUUAUCAUCGUCCAGUGAUGUUGAACAAUGUUGAUGAUGAACUAAAAGUUGACCAACUAUGAUCGUGUCUGGACUAAUUUUUAUCAGGAGAACUCCAGACGUCUAUCGAUGAUACUUCAUAAAGAUAUAAUGGAAUCGAUAUUAAUUUUAAUCUCGUGAUAUAAAAGUGUCAUUCUCGCGAUAAAA